rnacentral:rRNA from 1 species
UACGGGGGGGGUAAGCGUUGUUCGGAAUUACUGGGCGUAAAGGGCUCUUAGGCGGCCAACUAAGUCGGACGUGAAAUCCCUCAGCUUAACUGGGGAACUGCGUCCGAUACUGGAUGGCUUGGAUUUGGGAGAGGGAUGCGGAAUUCCAGGUGUAGCGGUGAAAUGCGUAGAUAUCUGGAGGAACACCGGUGGCGAAGGCGGCAUCCUGGACCAAUAUUGACGCUGAGGAGCGAAAGCCAGGGGAGCAAACGGG